GACGAACGCUGGCGGCGUGCUUAACACAUGCCAGUCGAACGGAAAGGCCCUGCUUUUGUGGGGUGCUCGAGUGCGAACGGGUGAGUAACACGUGAGUAACCUGCCCUUGACUUUGGGAUAACUUCAGGAAACUGGGGCUAAUACCGGAUAGAAGCUCCUGCUGCAUGGUGGGGGUUGGAAAGUUUCGGCGGUUGGGGAUGGACUCGCGGCUUAUCAGCUUGUUGGUGGGGUAGUGGCUUACCAAGGCUUUGACGGGUAGCCGGCCUGAGAGGGUGACCGGCCACAUUGGGACUGAGAUACGGCCCAGACUCCUACGGGAGGCAGCAGUGGGGAAUAUUGCACAAUGGGCGGAAGCCUGAUGCAGCAACGCCGCGUGCGGGAUGACGGCCUUCGGGUUGUAAACCGCUUUCGCCUGUGACGAAGCGUGAGUGACGGUAAUGGGUAAAGAAGCACCGGCUAACUACGUG
rnacentral:rRNA from 1 species